GUACAAACAUCACUGGAUAACAGUCCUGUCUACAGUCAGUGGUGCAAAGGUGCUCAUUUUUAAAUAAAGCUUGUUAAAAAUGUCGAUGGGUUUUAUUGUGAAAGGAAGGAACAGGAAGAAGUUCUUUCGCACAUGCGUAGAACGUUUCUGGCUCUGCUCGGUAGUCGAAGCUGAAAACGGUUGUGUACUUUAUAGCAGAUAAAUAUUUGAGCUGCUGAAGUAACGAUGUGUUCAGUGGAGUAUUUGAGAGAGUUUGUUAAUGAGCGACUAACGGCUGCUGCUGAAGAAAUAUUCGGAGCCUUUGUAAAAACGAUCGUCCAGAAUGAGGCCGAUGCCAGGCAGCGCAUACUCCGGGAUAUCACCGUUAAGUUCCCCAAAAUAAAGUUACACAGAAUAGAUCUCCCACAACAUGUCUGCAAUACGGAGGUUCUCACAGACCAGCAGCUCUGCAAUGAGGAGAGCAUCUCCAGUUUGGACCAGGAGGAAACGGUUCCUCUGCCGAUUAAAGAGGAACACGAGGAACACUGCUUCACUGAAAAUGAAGAGCAGCUUGUACUGAAGCAGGAAACUGAAACCUUCAUGGUGCCUUGCACUAAUGAGGAAAGUGAUGAUAAUGGACCCAAAACAAGCACUGACCAGUUCAUGUGUCACAGCUCUCCUGGAUCUAAGAAUCAUUACCAGGAAGCAGACAACCAUGUGGACUCCAGCACAAAGCUGAAGCCAAAGAAGAGACAACACGGAAACAAAGACCAAUAUGCAUGCAAGGAGGACAUUCUCGAUGACAAAUGGCUCUUUAACCUGGAGAAUAAAUCUGGUCUGAACCAGCAGGACCUAGGACUUCUACAAAUAAAAGAGGAAGAGGAGGAACUCUUCACAAAUCAGGAGGGAGAGCAGCUUGUACUGGAGGGAGAGCAGCUUGUACUGGAGCAGCAAACCAAUCCCUUCAUGAUCUCUUCAGUUUUUGAGGAACAGAGUUCCUGUAAAGAAGAGCCAAACAGCCAGCUCCUUUCUCACGACUCUCUAUGCCAGGGAAGAACAGAUGAGAAACCAUAUUCUUGUAACACCUGUGGGAAGAGAUUUAAAUACGUUUCAACAUUGAAAGUACACACGAGCAUUCACACAGAAAUGGUAGGGGAGAGAUGUGUCUAGCACCUCAGUUGAUCCAUCACCUCUUCGCUGAAGCAUCAUCAGAAACAGGAAGUGUGUCAAAAUGCCAAUGGAAGGAAAGUGGGAAGAAAAUCCUCACAUAUGCCAAAUUGCACAAGAACUGGACUGAAAAUCAGUGGCAACAGGUCUUAUGGAGCGAUAGGUCCAAAUGUGAAAAAUUCAGCUCGCUAGUGUGUAUGAAGAAGGUCAAAAAGAGACAACAGCAAGUGUUUUACAGCCAUCUCUAAACACAUUGGGGACUCUGUUUUAGUUUGGGGCUGCAUUUCAGCCACUGAUGUUGGCAGUCUUGUCAAAAUUGAUGAAAUUAUGAACCUAUUAAAGAACUGUCUGUGCAUCUGGAAAGCUUCUGAUUGGCAGUGGCUUAAUUUAUCAGCAUGACUGGGCCUCAUUUACUAAUGUUUGCAUUGAAUUGUUCUGUGCAAAAAAUAAUAGUUCCCAAACAAAAUUAUUGUUGGAUUUAUAAAACAUAUGACCGGCCUAUUUAGCUCUUACUGCUUAUGCUAAUAAAUCUGAAGUGUUCGGAAUCAACAACCUUGUAGAAUCUCCAUACAGUUUGCAUACUAUCUGCAGACUGACCCACCCCAAUUUGCCACACAUGCCACAAAUUUCCCUCCAGAUGAAGUGGAGAAAGUGGUGAUGAUGAUAAUAAUAAUGGAUUGCAUUUAUAUAGCGCUUUUCAAGGCACCCGAAGCGCUUUACAAUUCCACUAUUCAUUCACACACUGGUGGAGGCAAGCUACAGUUGUAGCCACAGCUGCCACCCUGGGGCAGGCUGACAGAAGCGAGGCUGGCAUUUCGCACCAUUGGCCCCUCUGGCCAACACCAGUAGGCGGUAGGGUAAGGUGUCUUGCCCAAGGACACAACGACCAGGACAGAGAUGGUAUAGAGAGAAGCCUGCACCUCUAGGCAGGACAUAAGAGAAAAUGUGACUGUACAAAAUUAAAUAAUAAUAUCUGAGGUCCAAGGUGGAAGCUUUCCAAAGUGUUUCCACAGGAGUGAUGACUUUUUAAAAAUAAAUAAAAAGCGAUACUGAGUCUGAAAUAGCAGGAGUUCAUUUCCCCUGAAACACUUAAUGUCGCUCAAGUAAGAAAGAAAGUUUGAAAAAAGGUGCUAUGACUAACAGACGAAAGACUAACAGACGGAGAACAAAGACCACAUGGCAUAAUCUGUCAGCCUCAUAUGAGAAGCUCACUGCAAUGAAAACAGAAAAUCCAGAUUCUUCAGCAUCAAGGGUGUAGUACCAAAAAUGUAUAUUGUAAGUGAUCACAUCCAGCAAUGAUAGAAGUCAUUUUCAGUGGAAAAAUAAGAACAUUUAAGAUACAAUAAAACGGGUUAAUAAAAUAUUUUUAAAUUGAUAGAUGAGGCUCUACCCCAUGACCCUGCCCCACAUAAGUGUAAGAAAAUGAGUGGAUGAAGGUUGAAGCCUACACCUCUUUGCAUCCAUAGAUUUUUUUUUGUUUGUUUGUUAUUUUGCGCUUAUCCAGGGUCUCGAGGUCGCGGGGGGCAGCAGCCUAGAGAAGCCCAGACCUCCCUCUCUCCAGCCACCUCCUAAUCUCUUCAGGUUUCCUGGGUCUGCCCCUUUGCCUCACCAAGGAGGCCCCCAGGAGGCAUUCUUGUCAGAUGCCCUAACCACCUGAACUGGCGCCUUUCAAUAUGAAGGUGUAGCGGCUUUACGCUGAGCCCCUCCCGGAUGGCCGAACUCUUCACCCUAUCUCUAAGGGAGAACCCAGCCACCCUUUGGAGAAAGCUUAUUCCGCCAUCAAAGCUCGUGACCAUAGGUGAGGUUAGGGACACAGACCAUUACGGACCGCUAUAGCAUCCACAUCACUGCAGCCGCUGCACCAAUCUGUCUGUCCAUCUCACGUUCCCCUCUCCCCAAGACUCCAAUACUUAUACUCUCCUUGGGGCAGAGUAGGCACUCCACCCUUUCCAGCUGAGGACCAUGGCCUCAGAUUUGGAGGUGCUGAUUCUCAUUUCCACUGCUACACAUUCAACUGCAAACCGCUCUGGUGCAGCCUGGAGGCCAUCACCUGAUAAAGCCAACAGUAACACAUUAUCUGCAAAAGCAGAAUGAGAUUCUGAGACCGCACAAGUGGAACCUUCUGCCACUUGGCUAUUCCUAGAAAUUCUGUCCAUAAAAAUUAUGACUAGAAUCACUGAAAAAAGUCCAACACUCUUGUGGUGCCACAAUCCGUCCUUAUGUUCGAACAUGGUGUUUCUUAUGGACAAAUUGUUAUUUGCACAGACAUCAACACAACACUUAUUGUAGGGUCUACCUUGCAAUAUAAAACACCUUGAGGUGACUGUUGUGAUUUGGCGCUGUAUAAAUAAAAUUGAAUUGAAUUGAAUUGAAUUGAACACUGCACGGGUUCAGAUCUGGCAGACCAUUCCUCAAUCAAACUUUCUUUGCCCACAUGAGCAUUGAAGUCUCCCAGUAGGACGACCACACCCAGGUACUCCAAGAAGGCUGGGUACUCUAAACUGUCAGUUUAUACAUGCACUGAAUAGACCAUUUUCAUUUUGUAUUUUUGUUUUCUUUACGUGUGGUAUUUAUUUUGUGGUGUAUGAUCAUUUGGAAAACUGUAAAUAAGGCUAUAAUAAUUAUAAUUGUUUUUUUUAUUAUUAUUAUUAGUUGUAGCAAAUUCAAAUUCCUACAGCAGCCAGGCUGUGAUUUGUUCAUUAUGCAUGGUUAGAGGGGUUACAACAUUUGUUUGCAAAAUACAAAGAAAUUCAGUCAUGAAAAUAUUGAUAAAUCACAGAUCUUUCUGUCAAAAAUUUGUACAUUUGCACUGUUUGUAAAUGAGGCUCCGUGAUUCCAAACCAGUGAAUAAAACAAUAAAACCAUACCUGGUUAACACACACUGCGCACAAUCCCAGAACCCAGGGAUUGUGUUGACAGUGAAUAAAACAAAAGGCAGCCAACAUCAAAAGAAAAGCUUUUGAAUGCCGUUCAAGCAGCCUGGAGAACUUUUCCUAAAGACUUUGUUUUUGCCUUACUUGUAAACAAAAUAUAAAGACGUUUGUGUGUGUGUUAACAGGUCUAAACUUUAACUCGAAAUUUUGUCCUAGAUUCAACAAUUUAAACCUUCGGCUUGUUUUUGCUACUAUAAUCUAUUACCACGUAUGGUAAUAUAAAAUAUUUCAGCAAUGUAAGUUAUGGAGUUAAUGUCCCCCAAUUUAUUUUUUUCAGUAAUGAUGGAAAUUUGGCAGUAUAAUAAAAUUGAAAACAGAACGAGAAUGCCAGCUUUUCAGCUGAUGCAUCUGCAUGACUGCAUGACAUUUAGGAUUUUUUUUCUUUAUGAGAGCAAAACAAACUUUUUGAAUGUUAUUUUUAUUGAAAAAUGGCAUGUACAAAAUUCCACAAGUGUAUUUUUUGUCAAUACAUGUCAGAGGUGUAACUGUCUAAAUCUAAUAAUUUUCUUUCUACCUCAGUAGUGUUUGAAUUAUGAUGCAAAGAAACCAUAGAGUUCUACCCGAUAACUAGACUUUAAUUUUUUAGAACAUGUUUCAUUUUGUAUCUGUUCAAUUAUAUAAACUGUGUUUCAGUGUGAGGCUAGCAUACUGAAGAUGUGUAUACAUUAUCUGCAGUAUUGUCAAGCGUGCUAUAUAAGUGAAGUACAAAUGAUUUUUUUACAAGGCUUUCUAAAAUGAGUCUUUCCAAUACUAAUUCAAAAGGAUGUUUAGGAAAUGUAUAUGAAAAUCGCUAUUGUAACCAUGAGCAUCAUCAUAACUAAAUGAUGAUAUAGUAAGUGUUCAGUACUUGUUUUUGUGAUCAAAAAUAUGUAUUCUAACAAUAAAUAUUCAUAAAGAAAUGAUGUAAGAAUAACAUACUAUAUUAUACUAUAUCAUACUAUAUAUAAGAACAUACUACAUUUUGAAGCUGCAAGCAAUUAGUCUUCACUGGGUCCCAGACAGGGACAUUAAAAUUCUU
ensembl:lncRNA